GAUGAAGAACGCAGCGAAAUGCGAUAAGUAAUGUGAAUUGCAGAAUUCAGUGAAUCAUCGAAUCUUUGAACGCACAUUGCGCCCGCCAGUAUUCUGGCGGGCAUGCCUGUUCGAGCGUCAUUUCAACCAUCAAGCCCCAGGCUUGUGUUGGGGACCUGCGGCUGCCGCAGGCCCUGAAAACCAGUGGCGGGCUCGCUGUCACACCGGGCGUAGUAGAUUUUAUCUCGCUCAGGGCGUGCUGCGGGUUCCGGCCGUUAAAAAGCCUUUUUUACCCAAGGUUGACCUCGGAUCAGGUAGGAAGACCCGCUGAACUUAAGCAUAUCAAUAAGCGGGGA
rnacentral:misc_RNA from 1 species